CAUCCGCAGCUGACCGGCGAAUGUAAAGAUUGGACUAAGCAUGUAGUGCCGACGGUGUAGUAAUUUCGGACGGGGGUUCAAAUCCCCCCAGCUCCACCA
rnacentral:tmRNA from 2 species